GAAAUGCGAUAAGUAAUGUGAAUUGCAGAAUUCAGUGAAUCAUCGAAUCUUUGAACGCACAUUGCGCCCGCCGGCAUUCCGGCGGGCAUGCCUGUCCGAGCGUCAUUUCACCACUCAAGCCCAGCUUGGUGUUGGGGCACCCGGCCGCCUGGCGGUCGGGGCCCCCAAGUACAUCGGCGGACCCGCCGGGGGCUCCGAGCGCAGUAGCACGCGGUAAAACGCGCCCUCGCUCGGCGGCCUCUUCGGGCUUCCAGCCGCUAAACCCCCCAGUGACGUUUCUCGAGUUGACCUCGGAUCAGGUAGGAAUACCCGCUGAACUUAA
rnacentral:misc_RNA from 1 species